GCCAGAGGGGGCAAGCGUUGCUCGGAAUUACUGGGCGUAAAGGGCGCGUAGGCGGGAUGGCAAGUCGGUCGUGAAAUCCCUCGGCUCAACCGAGGAACGUCGAUCGAUACUGCUGUUCUUGAGGAUUGCAGAGGAGACUGGAAUUCCCGGUGUAGCGGUGAAAUGUGUAGAGAUCGGGAGGAACACCGGUGGCGAAGGCGGGUCUCUGGGCCGAUACUGACACUGAGGAGCGAAAGCCAGGGGAGCAAACGGG
rnacentral:rRNA from 1 species